ensembl:lncRNA
UGUGGCUGACAUGUAACUGACAUGUGAUUGACAUGUGGCUGACAUGUGACUGACAUGUAACUGACAGGUGGCUGACAUGUGACUGACAUGUAACUGACAGAUGACUGACAUGUGGCUGACAUGUAACUGACAUGUGACUGACAUGUAACUGACAUGUGACUGACAUGUAACUGACAUGUGGCUGACAUGUAACUGACAGGUGACUGACAUGUAACUGACAUGUGACUGACAGGUGGACUCACCUGCUCAUUUCUAAAUAUUAAAGGACUCAUUUGACACGAAUGAUUUUGGUCGUUAUUGUUACAUUUAAGUUAUUUAUAGACAUUGGUUGAUUGACAUACAUCAGGAGAGGAGGAGAAGAGUUAAACCGUCCCACGUGAUACGACUCGACCAAUCGAGGCUUUGCAUCCCAGGCAGGACGAUGACAUCGUCUCAAUACUGCAGACAGAUGAGAGAGGUACCGUCUGUCCAAUCAGAAGGGUCCGCGUGCUAUAAGGCCCUCCCCUUUCCGUAAGAAGUUAAUGUCGCUGUGAUUUGAACUUCAGGGCCACCGUAUUAUUCUCCAACUUAACAAAAAAGUGGAUAUAAUAUAUAUAUAUAAUAUAUAUACACAUAUAUAUAUACUAUUAAACUGUUC